AUGGAACACAAAGCUACCGCCGCGCGAAGUGAUCUAGAGCAGAUAUUAGUCGAUGAAACCGCAGAACCCACGGCCCUGCCAUUAUCACUUUUGAAGGACAUCACAGGUGAUUUCUCUGACGAUCAGGAGAUUGGACGCGGUGGAUUUGCAGUGGUUUAUAAGGGAAUAUUUGGCGAUAAGGUGAUCGCCGUGAAGAAGCUGUCCAACGCUUAUAUGCAUGAAACUGAAUUUGAUCGAGAGAUUGAAUGCCUAAUGCGGGCAAAGCACAAAAAUGUAGUAAGAUUUCUGGGAUAUUGUGAUGACACACAAAGAAGUAGGGAAAGAUUCGAUGGAAAACAUGUCAUGGCAGAGAUCCACCAAAGAUUGCUUUGCUUCGAAUAUGUACGUAAAGAGGGUCUUGAUAAGUAUAUCAAUGGUGCAUAUCGUGAGUGGGGAACGUGCUAUAAAAUAAUCAAAGGGAUCUGUGAGGGUCUGCAGUACCUUCACGAUAAUCAUAUUAUUCACCUGGAUCUGAAACCCGCCAAUAUACUGCUCGACGAUAACAUGGAACCGAAAAUUACUGAUUUUGGCCUAUCAAGAUGCUUUGAUGAAAAUCAAAGCCAGGAUAUUACCAAAACUAUAUUAGGAACAAUAGGAUAUUUGGCACCAGAAAUUCGCGAAGGAGGUGUAAUCGCACGCAGCGCUGACUUGUAUAGUGUUGGUGUCAUUAUCCUGGAAAUACUGACCGGGCAGAAGGGGUAUCAAGAUAUUGGGGAUGUACUUGAAAGUUGGAGCGAUAGAUUGGAGAGAUCACAACGAGACACACUAUGCGAGCAAAUACGAGUAUGCUACGAGAUAGCUUUAGAGUGCAGGGAAUUCAAUCCAAAGAUGAGACCACCUAGUGCACGAGAUAUAAUUGACAGGCUACACACAAUGGAAAGUAUCCAGGGCUGGUUUGAGAAAAUAUUAUACCUUUCUACCGAGCCGGCUCAACUACCAGGCUCGCUGUACAGUCUGGUCGAGACGAAACCACCACUUCCCGUUAAAGUCGGCCAGUGCGGCGCGGCGACGAAGAUGGCGUCGAUCUACGACAUGGUGGAGCCGAUGUCGUAUCUGUGCGUGAGCGUGGUGCAGGCGCGGGACCUGCCCACCAUGGACAUCACCGGCGCGCUGGACCCGUACGUAGAGGUGAAGCUGGGAAAUUUCAAGAGCGUGACGCGGCACCUAGAGAAGAACGCCAACCCGGUGUGGCGACAAAUGUUCACCUUCUCUGCCGCCCACCUGCAGUCCAACCAGCUUGAGGUUAUCGUGAGGCACAAGGACGUUCUUCGUGCCGACUUUGUUGGCCGCGUCGUCUUCGACAUGUCCGACAUCCCCAGCUGCAUCCCACCUGACAGCCAGUUGGCCCCGCAAUGGUACCACCUUUCCAAUGCCCACGGCGAGAGGUUCCCCCAUGGCAAUAGCCUCGGCGAGAUUAUGCUCGCCGUUUGGCUUGGCACGCAGCCCGACGAGGCCUUCAUGGAGGCGUGGCACUCGGGUACGCACUCCCUCUCCCGAGAGAGGCUCAUGAACACGCGCUCCAAGGUGUACUACUCCCCCAAGCUCAUCUACCUCAAGGUGUUCAUCAUCACGGCGCAGGACCUCAUCGGCGCUGAGAAGGACCGACCGCUGGCGGCGGCCAUCGCCAAGAUCUAG
rnacentral:rRNA from 1 species